rnacentral:lncRNA from 1 species
GCUCUGAUUAAAAUCAAUCCCAGUGUCAUAGAACUUUAAGUUGGAAAAACACACAGUUAAGUAAAUAAUUAAGCAAAUCAUUCCAGGUGUGCCAAGUGCUGUGCAGGCAAAGUACAGAGUGCUAUGGGAGCAAGUAGUAGGGACCACACCUGUUCUUAUGAGAGAGUGGCCAGGGCCAGCUUUGACAGACAAGAUGGACAAGGUGGACAGAUAGGAGUUAGCCAGGUAAAGAGAGAGGAUGAGUUAGCAGAGGAAGUCGAGUGUAUGGCAGUUGAGAUGUAUGAAGAACUCAGGAGGGGGUCAGAUAUGGUUGCAGGUGAGAUAUUGCCUGAGAAGCUGCUGAGAGAUGAGACGACAGAAGUCAGAUCAAUCAUGGUCUUACAGGCUCUCUUGAGGAGUUAGAUCUUCAUGCCAAGAGCAAUUGGAAGCCACUGAAGACUUUGAAACCAACAAUGACCAGAUUCAUAUUGUAUGAUAAGAUUUGUAUUAUAAAAAUUGUGAUUUUGGCAGUGGAAUGGAGAAUGGGUUGGAAGGGGUCACGAGUAAAGGAGACUAGUUAGCAGCCCAUGGUUGCUGAGGUCCAGGUGAGAUAUGAAGGGGGCCUGGACCAGGGUGGUGACACUGGAUGAGGAAGACUUAAGAGUCAAGAUAUACCAUAUUACCUUGAUCCUGAAAUAUACCGGGUCUCACUAUGUUGUCCAGCUGGUCUCUGAACUUCUGGG